GACGAACGCUGGCGGCGUGCCUAAUACAUGCAAGUAGGACGCAGUUGCGAACGGGUGAGUAACGCGUAGGUAACUACCUAUUAGAGGGGGAUAACUAUUGGAAACGAUAGCUAAUACCGCAUACUAGUAGAUGGACCUGCGUUGUAUUAGUUAGUAGGUAGGGUAAUGGCCUACCUAGGCAACGAUACAUAGCCGACGUGAGAGGGUGAUCGGCCACACUGGGACUUGGAAACCGCCCAGACGCCUACGGUAGGCAGCAGUAGGGAAGCUUCGUGAAAGGGGGGAACCCUGACCGGGCAACGCCGGGGGAGGGAAGAAGGUUUUCGGGUCGGAAAGCUCUGGUGUUAAGGGAGCGGUACUUAACCAGAAAGGGACGGCUAACUACGUGCCAGCAGCCGCGGUAAUUC
rnacentral:rRNA from 1 species